rnacentral:rRNA from 1 species
AUUGAACGCUGGCGGCAGGCCUAACACAUGCAAGUCGAGCGGAGCGGCGGACGGGUGAGUAAUGCCUAGGAAUCUGCCUGGUAGUGGGGGAUAACGUCCGGAAACGGGCGCUAAUACCGCAUACUAUCAGAUGAGCCUAGGUCGGAUUAGCUAGUUGGUGGGGUAAAGGCCUACCAAGGCGACGAUCCGUAACUGGUCUGAGAGGAUGAUCAGCCACACUGGAAAUGGGACACGGUCCAGAAUCCUACGGGAGGCCGCAUGGGGGAAUAUUGGGCAAUGGGCGAAAGCCUGGUCCAGCCAUGCCGGGUGUGUGAAGAAGGUCUUCGGGUUGUAAAGCACUUUAAGUUGGGAGGCGUUACCCACAGAAUAAGCACCGGCUAACUUCGUGCCAGCAGCCGCGGUAAUUC